GCUUAACACAUGCAAGUCGAACGCGUGUAGCAAUACACGAGUGGCAGACGGGUGAGUAACGCGUGGGAACCUUCCCUUUGGUACGGAAUAACCCGGGGAAACUCGGGCUAAUACCGUAUAUUCCGGUGACGGGAAAGAUUUAUCGCCAGAGGAUGGGCCCGCGUAGGAUUAGCUAGUUGGUGGGGUAACGGCCUACCAAGGCGACGAUCCUUAGCUGGUCUGAGAGGACGACCAGCCACACUGGGACUGAGACACGGCCCAGACUCCUACGGGAGGCAGCAGUGGGGAAUCUUGGACAAUGGGGGAAACCCUGAUCCAGCCAUGCCGCGUGGGUGAUGAAGGCCUUAGGGUUGUAAAGCCCUUUUGGCGGGGACGAUGAUGACGGUACCCGCAGAAGAAGCCCCGGCUAACUCCGUGCCAGCAGCCGCGGUAAUAC
rnacentral:rRNA from 1 species